AGGACGAACGCUGGCGGCGUGCCUAACACAUGCAAGUGGAGCGACGAACCAGGCUUCGGCCUGGGGCAAAGCCGCGAACGGGUGAGUAACACGUGGGUAACCUGCCCCGAUGAUCGGGACAACUCGAGGAAACUCGGGCUAAUACCGAAUGUGCCCUACGGCCACAAGGCCGCUGGGGAAAGGAAGCUUCGGCCUCCGCAUCGGGAUGGGCCCGCGGCCCAUUAGCUUGUUGGUGAGGUAACGGCUCACCAAGGCAACGAUGGGUAGCUGGUCUGAGAGGACGAUCAGCCACACUGGGACUGAGACACGGCCCAGACUCCUACGGGAGGCAGCAGUGGGGGAAUCUUGCGCAAUGGGCGAAAGCCUGACGCAGCGACGCCGCGUGGGGGAUGAAGGCCUUCGGUUGUAACCCUUUCAGCAGGGACGAAGCGAAAGUGACGGUACCUGCAGAAGAAGCGCCGGCUAACUACGUGCCAGCAGCCGCGGU
rnacentral:rRNA from 1 species